AGGGCACAACCCCACAGUACCCAAGUGGGAUGGCCUUGGUGGGAACAGCCACUUGCAUCCAUGUCCAGUUGUCAUCAGAUGAGGAGCAGUAACGAGUCGGGUUCCUGCUGUCUGCAAAGUCCAUCUGAGAAGUCGGAGCAGCAGGAGACAGGAGUGCCCACAGGGUAGUCCAAGGCCCGUCCAGGAGAAGGACCAGGCACAGGUACUGGGCUGCUGCUCUUAGACGCCCCCAAAAACAUUCCCUUCUCCAGAGAAGGAGCCCCAUUCCCUCUGCCUCCGUGCACAGGACGUGUGCGCCAGCCCCGACAGCCUCGGUGUCAUCGACGCUUUAUGGUCUCCUCUGGCAAGUCUGGAGAAGGGAGGACAGAGCUCGGAGAUGAGGAAUGGCAUCACCCUGCAUCUUGUUGGUGUUGGGAUGGCCCCAGGCUGGGUGGGGUUUGUGACAGAGAAGGAUCAGCUGCAGGGAUUUUGGCAGCUCGUGGUGAUGAGCUGCUGAGCGGACACGCAACCCUGUGGCUUGCGCUGAGGGUUGUUCACAGCAGUGCCAUGCUGUCACCAAAUAAAUGAUCCAA